rnacentral:rRNA from 1 species
AUAUUGCGCAAUGGGGGAAACCCUGACGCAGCGACGCCGCGUGAACGAUGAAGGCCUUCGGGUCGUAAAGUUCUGUCCUCAGGGAAGAAUAAAUGACGGUACCUGAGGAGGAAGCCCCGGCUAACUACGUUCCAGCAGCCGCGGUAAUACGUAGGGGGCAAGCGUUGUCCGGAAUUAUUGGGCGUAAAGGGUGCGUAGGCGGCCUUUUAAGUCAGGUGUGAAAGCCCACGGCUUAACCGUGGGAUUGCAUUUGAAACUGGAAGGCUUGAGUAUCGGAGAGGGUAGUGGAAUUCCCAGCGUAGCGGUGGAAUGCGUAGAGAUUAGGAGGAACACCAGUGGCGAAGGCGGCUUUCUGGACAGUAACUGACGCUGAGGCGCGAAAGCGUGGGGAGCAAAC